rfam:Erwinia tasmaniensis strain ET1/99 complete chromosome.
CUUAUUAUGCCGAGGCCAGCCCCCGUCACACUGACGGGAAGCGGCGUGUGCUUGUCACACCUGAAUAACCAGCCGUUAAGU